rnacentral:rRNA from 1 species
AUUGAACGCUGGCGGCAGGCUUAACACAUGCAAGUCGAGCGAGCGGCGGACGGGUGAGUACUGUCUGGGAAACUGCCUGCUGGAGGGGGAUAACUACUGGAAACGGUAGCUAAUACCGCAUACCAUCAGAUGUGCCCAGAUGGGAUUAGCUAGUAGGUGGGGUAAUGGCUCACCUAGGCGACGAUCCAUAGCUGGUCUCAGAGGUUGACCAGCAACCCUGGAACUGGGACACGGUCCAGACUCCAAGGUGAGGCAGCAGUGGGGAAUAUUGCACUAUGGGCGCAAGCCUGAUGGAUCCUUGCCGCGUGUGUGAAGAAGCCCUUCGGGUUGUAAAGCACGUUCAGCGAGGAGGCGUUACUCGCAGAAGAAGCACCGGCUAACUCCGUGCCAGCAGCCGCGGUAAUAC